CCUACGGGUGGCAGCAGUGAGGAAUAUUGGUCAAUGGGCGCGAGCCUGAACCAGCCAUGUAGCGUGCAGGAUGACUGCCCUACGGGUUGUAAACUUCUUUUAUAAAGGAAUAAAGUGAGGCACGUGUGCCUUUCUGUAUGUACUUUAUGAAUAAGGAUCGGCUAACUCCGUGCCAGCAGCCGCGGUAAUACGGAGGAUCCAAGCGUUAUCCGGAUUUAUUGGGUUUAAAGGGUGCGUAGAUGGGUUGUUAAGUCAGUUGUGAAAGUUUGCGGCUCAACUGUGAAAUUGCCAUUGAUACUGGCAGCCUUGAGUGUAGUUGCGGUAGGCGGAAUGUGUGGUGUAGCGGUGAAAUGCUUAGAUAUCACGCAGAACUCCGAUUGCGAAGGCAGCCUACUAAUCU
rnacentral:rRNA from 1 species